UCUUUCAUAUUGUUACAGGGAUAGCCAUCCAUGAUAUACACAUCAUCUGGGCAGUCAUGAUACGUUCCAUUGCAAUAUUCGGGGAGAUCACAGGUUCUGUGAAAAUGUCACUUGGUUUGGGAGCAUUUCUAAGACAGGUUCCUCCACCUCUCAAGAUGAGUUGCUCAAAAUCAUUCUCACUGCAGCUACUGAAGUUCCUGGACCCACUAAGAAACACAUAAAGAAGUUCUUGGAUCUAUUAGAAGUUGUGGGAGGAGCUGAAGACCACAUGAUUUGAUCUGAGACUGCUCAGAUCACAGACCGCAUUAGACUUUGGGACUGCUAAGAGCAAACACUUUCUUGGUGUUUGUAAGAAAGAUGCCCUGUGCCAUCUGCACACAGAGAUUAUCUCAAAUAUAUUUGUGUUUGGACUGAUAAUUUGUGUAUCUAUGUAUGAUAAACACAUGAAGUUGUGAGUAAACCAAUUUUUUUUACCAAAGUCUAGUUCAUUUUGUCUCUUGAGUGCAUGAUAUAAAACCAGUUGUUUUAUGGGAGAGUAAGUAUAUUUCUGAGCACUGAAAAACACAUCUGAAGCACUGCUAUUUUUAUGCCCUGGCAUGAUUUCUGUUUUCCUAACAGAUCAGAGACAAUAGCUUCAGUCUAACAACUGAAGCAAAUUGGUUUUG